rnacentral:rRNA from 1 species
GGAAUAUUGGACAAUGGGGGCAACCCUGAUCCAGCAAUGCCGCGUGUGUGAAGAAGGCCUUCGGGUUGUAAAGCACUUUCAUUGAGGAGGAAAAGCUGUGCGUUAAUAGCGUACAGCCGUGACGUUACUCAAAGAAGAAGCACCGGCUACCUCCGUGCCAGCAGCCGCGGUAAUACGGAGGGUGCAAGCGUUAAUCGGAAUUACUGGGCGUAAAGCGCGCGUAGGCGGUUUAUUAAGUCAGACGUGAAAUCCCCGGGCUCAACCUGGGAAUGGCAUUUGAGACUGGUAGGCUAGAGUGUGGUAGAGGUGAGUGGAAUUUCAGGUGUAGCGGUGAAAUGCGUAGAGAUCGGGAGGAACACCAGUGGCGAAGGCGGCUCUCUGGACCAAUACUGACGCUGAGGCGCGAAAGCGUGGGGAGCAAAC